AGGAUCCUGGACAAAUUGCACAGGAGCUGUGCUUUGGUUCCCUGAUGAAUUGAGCAUUUGUUGCCCUGGAAAAAGAAUCCAUCCUGUGGGGGUGUCAGUGGCUGCUGAAUGAAGACCAGAAAGGAUGAAGAAUUGCAGAUCGAGCCCUAGCCCCAGUUGGAUGUGAUUUCACCAAGCAAUUUGAAACCUUGUCUAUCAUUGUCCACAUAAGGGCUUAGCAGUUACAGAGAAGGAUGCAUCAUUGAGACAACUUGGUCCGUUGUGGGAUACACACG
rnacentral:lncRNA from 1 species